rnacentral:lncRNA from 1 species
UUCUUUCUUCUCCACAAGGAACCGAAUUAGGCCUUCUAGGGUGAUAUCAGGCUCCUCACUCUUCAUCAGUUGCUCACCCACUUCUGCAGGGGUUACCUUUGCUUCCAAGAUCAAGUCUUCAACCUCUGGGAAAAGAGGGUGGUUUGUGAUCUCAAGGUAGUUGGAGGCUAGCAUUUUGAACCCACAUGGGGUGCAGUAAGACAUGUUGAUAUGCAUAUCCAUGCGACCAGGGCGCAACAGAGCUGGGUCAAGCUUGUCUUUGUGGUUGGUUGUGAAGACUAUGAUCCGCUCAUCUCCACAGCUUGACCACAGCCCAUCUAUGAAAUUGAGCAGCCCUGAUAGAGUCACCUAAAAUUGAUGGAAAUGUGUGAGAAUGGGUAGGUUGGGUUAUGCCCUUUUAAGGCUAAAAGGUCCAAAAAGGCACUCCCACCACCCAGAACAUUUUCUUUCUACCCAAAAGACACCAAUCUGGGGUCAUGUAAAUCCUCAAAAGACCCCUUAUAGAGUCACCUACCUAAAAUUGAUAGAAAAUGUGUGAGAAUGGGUAGCUCUCUCAAUUCUCAGGUAGGGUGGGGUUUUGUGUUGAAAGCUAAAAGGCCCAAAAAGGCACUCCACCACCCACCCAGAACAUUUUCUUUCUGCCCAAACAGACACGUUCAAGAAACCAUACAAAAUUGUUUGAAAGUGUUUCAGAUUUUAUUUUUAAAUCAAUUGAAAAGUCAUUGAUAGUUUCCUAAUAGAAUAUAUUCUUGUAACGGGGUUUCCUAUUAUCAUUAAAAAAAAAAUGCUAUUGUGAGAUCUUAUUUCUCGAAUAGGUAUCUUGGACAAUUAUUCAAUCAAGUUCCUACAUCGAAUCUUCCUAUACAAAUAGAAAAAAUAUAGUAACAGAUUUUGACUAAAAGAAUGAGAGUCUCUUUUUGGAUGUAAUUGGGACUUUGGAAUUUGAGGGUUUUUAGGUUAUAAUCUCCUUCAACAAUAAUAGAAGUUCUUUGUUCUAUCUAAGCUACUAAGAGGGGGACCUCCUAAAAGGAUCUACCAAAUGAAUCUGAGUUGUGCCAAAGGACCAAAACAGCCAGGCCAAUCAUUAAUGGAAUUCCUUGUUGGCUGUCUCUAAAAUACUCGUUUGGUUGUUUUCACAACUAUGUAAAUCAUUGUAUGCUUUGCUUGUUUUUAUUCUUGUUCUCUUGUUUUCUUCACCCUAUUAUUAUUCUUCUUGUAGUGGUUUUUGACAACAAACUGAAAUCUCAAAGUUCUAAAUUCUCAAACAUCAUUAACAAAUAAAUUUGGGGAUCUAAAAAGUUUUGUAUGCAAGAUUGAUUGAAGACAAAGAGAGAAAGACAAGAUGUACCUGGCUUGUUUGGUAUCGAUGAGGAUUCAUCAUUCUGGCUUGAGCUAGUCUAUCUUGCAAUUCAAGGGAGCAAUCAAUAUCCUCCACCACAAGUAUGGAUCGGUUUGCAGUAGAAAUCAGCAAUUUCCUGAGCUCAGAAUUGCAUCUAAGAUCUGUGAGCUCCAAGUCAUAGAUAUCAAAAUUCAAAUAAUUAGCCAUGGCUGCAAUCAAGCUCGAUUUCCCAGUACCAGGAGGCCCAAACAGCAAGUACCCCCUCUUCCAGGCCUUGCCAACUUUCCUGUAAAACCCUUUCCUCCUCACAAACCUCUCAAGAUCAUUCAUUAAAGUCCUCUUGAGCUCCGAGUCCAUCGCCAGUGUAUCAAAAGUAGCCGGAUGAUCAAGCUUCACCGACUGCCAUGGAUCGCUGCUCCC